AGCGUAGACGGCGAAGCAAGUCUGAAGUGAAAACCCAGGGCUCAACCCUGGGACUGCUUUGGAAACUGUUUUGCUAGAGUGUCGGAGAGGUAAGUGGAAUUCCUAGUGUAGCGGUGAAAUGCGUAGAUAUUAGGAGGAACACCAGUGGCGAAGGCGGCUUACUGGACGAUAACUGACGUUGAGGCUCGAAAGCGUGGGAGCAAACA
rnacentral:rRNA from 1 species